UGAUGGUAAGAUUUUAAUUCAACAUUCAAAUGCUUGCACAUUUAGUAACAUUUAAGAUUCUAUGGCAAAAGUGAAUUUGUGUAAAUGACUGCUUAACUAACUAUGUGACAUACUUUCUCAAUUCCUUCCAGACAGUCCAGAUUGACUGGUGCCCAUGCUGAUGCUGAACAUGCCCAGGCUGUUGUCACACAGCUGUAUAGGUUUUAUUGGACUAUUUUGAGACAUAUAGCUGCAGCCAGAGCCUAUAGGCUUAUGUUUACAUUGUAUAGACACAGCUAAUUGUAUAAUAUUGUGAGGACUGGACUAAUUACCAGGCAGCAGAGCCAAAGCUCAGUGUUACAUUUGAUUAUUUUCUACAUUUGAUAUUUUCUACAAUUUCUUAUUUAUGUUAAUAUUCACUUAUCUUAAGAUUCUAUAGGAAAUAUUUAAUUCAAUAAAUAUGGAUUGCUUAUACCUCAUUCUGUUCUGUAUAGGUCGACUUAUUCUUAAACCGACAGAUGGAGAAAAACGUUUUAAAGGAGGGAGGAUUGUAAUGUGAGCACUGGAGUCUCAGGUGUGACUGUGUGGAAAUGGCAAAUGGUUUACAUGGCUCACGGGUCAGGUAGGAGGGCCCCUUAGCAGAAUUUUGCUUAGGACCCCAGGGAGGUCAGGACCGCCCGUCUCUGUUGGUACCUUAGUUGUUGUGCUUACUAACAUGAUAAUUUACUGAACAGCUAAGGUAGCAUAUUGACAUGCAUAUUGGUAUUAAAAGACAACAAUGUCGUCAACAACAAAUAUGUGUUUAAAAUAUCCAGAAAAUCAUUAGUUUGAUAGCUAGCUGUCCAAUUAAAUAUGCAAAAAUAUGAUCGCUAAAGUGAGCCAGCUAGCCAGUCAGUGGCAAUGACAGGUUGGUUGAAACUGAUACAGCAACAACAUGUGUUUCACUCUAUCCCAUAAAACAUGACAUAUCUAACCAGGCAUCAAUUAGCCAACACAAUUUAAAGUUUAUUAGGACCUUAAAUCAAUAAGUUAGACACUCACCGGACAACUUUGGAGCUAGGUAGAUUUUCAACAGAUUUUUCUUCUCCCCUUGACUGGUAGUCAACUGUUACUGGUCUUGGAACUUGUGUGUUCACCAGAAACAACUUCUGUUAAACUCUUUGCCACUAGUAGCAAUACAUAUUGUUGCCACAGGUUUACCACAGAUUAAAAUAGAAUUUCGGGAGAUUUGUUUGUCAGAAAAAAAUCUCUGGCAAACUGUUUGCCACUAGCUGCAAUGCAUAUUAUUGUUGCCAAAGGUUUGCUGCAAAUGUACCACUUCUGGCAACAUUUUGUGGCACACGAUGUAGUUUGUAGAAAAUUUGCCACAAACUUGCGGGAAGUUUGCAACUACACAUUCAUUUUUGUAAGGGCAGAGAGAGGCUAGGCAGGCCUAGAGAUAUAUAAUCACUCAUGUUGUCUCAUGUGCAGAGGCUGUAAGACAGAUUGGUGGAACUAUUAGGUGGACUGAUGGAGCUACCAUGGCUGCUCCUGUAGUAAGUGGACCUACUGUCAGAACUGGUGCUUCUACUAGUCCUGACAUGGUUUCGAGACCUGUUCAGAAAUCUUGCUCCCAUAAAUGUGCUGCGUCAAAGGACACUUUAUAGUAAAACACAUUUACUUCAUAGCUUUCAUUGGAAAGGUUAUCAACAGGACUCGGAUUGUGGAAAGCAUAAAUGCCAGGUUAAAGAUUUGUGUGGAUAUGAUAAGAGAGUUAUUAGGGGUAACAGAUGUUACUGUCAACAUGAUUUUUGAAAUGUUGAAUAAUCCUAAGGAUGGAAUGUCUCAGCAUGAUAGAGGGAACAUUUGAAGAGGUUGGGAGGGUUUGGGGGAUGGGGAGGGUAGUUAAUAGGGAUUUAUUUGUUUAGUAUUACAGAAUAGAGUACCACAGUAUGAGUCAAAAUACCCAUAAAACCUAGCAGUCAAACAGGGAAAUGCUUCCAAUCAUUUUCCCAACAUUCAUUCUUUCCAUAGGGGAUUUUAUAAACACUUAAAAAUAAGGUCUUGUUUCAUGUAGUCUUACCGUGGCAUGAUGUUUUGAUGACCAUGUAAAUCUCUCUAGGACAAGGUGACUUUUUCAAAAUAUUCGUUCGCCUGUAUUUACCCCCCCAAAAUUAGACGCUAAUUAUCUGCUAAUGUAACUAUCAUAAAGAUCUACAAAUGCCAUGAUGAUCUGAAUAAGACAGCUGAAUCGACACAAUACCUGUUAGCAAAGGUGUCAAUUAAAGAAGAAGUGCAGGAGCUUGCACAGAUUUGAGAGAGAUUUACACUCUUAUUAUAAUGUCACGCCAGGGUAAGCCUACACGAAAUACAGUCCUUUUUUAAAGUUGUUCUAAAAUCACCUAUGGGAAAAAUGAAUGGUGUAAAAACGACUGGAACCAUUUCUCUGUUUGACCGCUAGGUUUUAUGGAUAUUAUGACACAACUGUGGGGCUCUAUUAGGCAAACCAUGAUUGAUCGUACACUCCAAAACAGUAGGUGGCGGCAUGCACGUAAAUGUUUCUUUACGGACCGCCAUUAUACCAUAGAAGAAGAAGAAGAAGAAGAAGAAGAAGAAGAAGAUCGUCACUUGCAUACCAGAAGUGACGUGUUUUGCGCUCCUAGCGAAACUUUGGUGCCACGCAUACAGUUUGUUGACAUGAUGAUGAUGAUGAUGAUGAUGCCGAAAUCUCUUGUGCUUAACUUAUUUUUAUGUCUACAGAUUUAUAAUGUCAUUGUUGAUGUUACAGUUGCAGUUGCGUCAAUCGAUGAUGUGAAGAUAGAGGUGUUAUUCACGCCAGAGGACUGCUCAAAAAAGAGCAAAAAGGGAGACCUAAUGAAUGCACACUACGAUGGGUAUCUUGCUAAAGACGGUUCUCAGUUCUACUGUAGCCGCUCAGACAAAGCUGGACAUCCUCAGUGGUUUGUGUUGGGAGUCGGACAAAUCAUCAAGGGCCUGGACAUGGCAUUGAAUGACAUGUGUGCUGGGGAGAAACGCAAAGUCACUGUUCCACCUGAGCUAGCCUUUGGAGAAAAAGGAAAAGCAGUUUCUUUGAAGGAUUUCCUCCCCUGACAGUGUACACCGCACUGCUUCCUCUUGGCAUGUCCUGUCCCACCCAAUGCUACAUUGAUCUUCGAUGUGGAGCUCUACUCUGUGUCCAAAGGGCCACGCAGCCUGGAGUCCUUCAGAGAUAUAGACCUGGAUGACGACAAGGUUCUCACUAGGGAUGAGAUGACAUUCUACUUCAAGGUGGAGUAUGAGAGAGAUGGUAGUAAACCUCGUGAAGACUCCUUCUAUGAGAGAAUGGUGAAUGAUGUGUUCCAGAAGAGUGACCACGAUAGAGAUGGAUUGAUAACGGUGAAGGAAUACAAUAUCUAUGAACAUGAUGAGCUCUAGGACCCACCAAAGGCUGCACUGACUUACAGUAUGAGGGUACAUUUGUUAUUGUUUUUUAACACACUACAAACAUCAGUGGAUAUUCCACAAAUGCUGAUUUGGCUGCAGAGUUUGACUAAUAAAACCACUAAAUUGUA